CCAUUAGAUGUUCUGGGCCGCACGCGCGCUACACUGAUGCAUUCAACGAGUCUAAAACCUGGUCUGAUAGGGCUGGGUAAUCUUUUGAAUGUGCAUCGUGAUUGGGAUAGAUGAUUGCAAUUCUUCAUCUUCAACGAGGAAUGCCUAGUAAACGCAAGUCAUCAGCUUGCAUUGAUUACGUCCCUGCCCUUUGUACACACCGCCCGUCGCUCCUACCGAUUGAAUGUUCCGAUGAAUACCAUGGACUGAGAGUAUGAAUGGGUUCGCCUAUUUCUGCUUCUCGGGAAGUGGAGUAAAUCUUAACAUUUAGAGGAAGGAGAAGUCGUAACA
rnacentral:rRNA from 1 species